AGCGGCGGACGGGUGAGUAACGCGUGGGUAACCUGCCUCAUACAGGGGGAUAACAGUUGGAAACGGCUGCUAAUACCGCAUAAGCGCACAGUACCGCAUGGUACGGUGUGAAAAACUCCGGUGGUAUGAGAUGGACCCGCGUCUGAUUAGGUAGUUGGUGGGGUAACAGCCUACCAAGCCGACGAUCAGUAGCCGACCUGAGAGGGUGACCGGCCACAUUGGGACUGAGACACGGCCCAA
rnacentral:rRNA from 1 species